rnacentral:lncRNA from 10 species
CACGGUGGCUCAUGCCUGUAAUCCCAGCACUUCGGGAGGCCGAGGAGGCUGAAUCACCUGAGGUCAGGAGUUCAAGACCAGCCUGAUCAACAUGACAAAACCCCAUCUCUACUAAAAAUACAAAAUUAGCGGGGCAUGGUGGCACAUGUCUGUAAUCCCAGCUACUUGGGAGGCUGAGACGGAGUUUCACUCUUGUUGCCCAGGCUGGAGUGCAAUGGCGUGAUCUUGGCUCACUGCAACCUCCACCUCCCAGGUUCAAGUGAUUCUCCUGCCUCAGCUUCCCAAGUAGCUGGGAUUACAGGCAUGUGCCACCACACCAGGCUACUUUUGUAUUUUUAGUGGAGAUGGAGUUUUUCCAUGUUGGCCAGGCUGGUCUCGAACUCCUGACCUCAGGUGAUCCAGCUCCCUCGGUCUCCCAAAGUGUUGGGAUUACAGGCAUGAGCCACCGUGCCCAGCCUGAAAAAAAUCUUUUACUAGAAACAGUUCCAAUGUUAACUUUUCCCACAUGGAAAGCAAAACAAAACAAAACAAAACAAACAAACAAAUGCAACAAAACAACCUCCCACUAUUAUUGUGCAUAAAAACACAUUAAAUGACUCUAAAACAAAAUAAACUUUUUUUU